UACGUAGGGUGCGAGCGUUGUCCGGAAUUACUGGGCGUAAAGAGCUCGUAGGUGGUUUGUCGCGUUGUUCGUGAAAACUCACAGCUCAACUGUGGGCGUGCGGGCGAUACGGGCAGACUGGAGUACUGCAGGGGAGACUGGAAUUCCUGGUGUAGCGGUGAAAUGCGUAGAUAUCAGGAGGAAUACCGGUGGCGAAGGCGGCCUUCUGGACGGUGACUGACGCUGAGACGCGAAAGCCGUGGGGGAGCAAACAGG
rnacentral:rRNA from 1 species